rnacentral:rRNA from 1 species
AGUGAACGCUGGCGGUAGGCCUAACAUAUGCAAGUCGAACGGCAGCACAGUAAGAGCUUGCUCUUACGGGUGGCGAGUGGCGGACGGGUGAGGAAUACAUCGGAAUCUACUUUUUUGUGGGGGAUAACGUAGGGAAACUUACUCUAAUACCGCAUACGACCUACGGGUGAAAGCAGGGGAUCUUCGGACCUUGCGCGAUUGAAUGAGCCGAUGUCGGAUUAGCUAGUUGGCGGGGUAAAGGCCCACCAAGGCGACGAUCCGUAGCUGGUCUGAGAGGAUGAUCAGCCACACUGGAACUGAGACACGGUCCAGACUCCUACGGGAGGCAGCAGUGGGGAAUAUUGGACAAUGGGCGCAAGCCUGAUCCAGCCAUACCGCGUGGGUGAAGAAGGCCUUCGGGUUGUAAAGCCCUUUUGUUGGGAAAGAAAAGCAGCAGGUUAAUACCCCGCUGUUCUGACGGUACCCAAAGAAUAAGCACCGGCUAACUUCGUG